GAUGAAGAACGUAGUGAAAUGCGAUAAUUAAUGUGAAUUGCAGAAUUCAGUGAAUCAUCGAAUCUUUGAACGCACAUUGCGCCCGCCAGUAUUCUGGCGGGCAUGCCUGUCCGAGCGUCAUUUCAACCCUCGAACCCCUCCGGGGGGUCGGCGUUGGGGAUCGGCCCUGCCUUUGGCGGUGGCCGUCUCCGAAAUACAGUGGCGGUCUCGCCGCAGCCUCUCCUGCGCAGUAGUUUGCACACUCGCAUCGGGAGCGCGGCGCGUCCACAGCCGUUAAACACCCAACUUCUGAAAUGUUGACCUCGGAUCAGGUAGGAAUACCCGCUGAACUUAAGCAUAUCAAUAAGCGGAGGA
rnacentral:misc_RNA from 1 species